AUGUACAUUUAUAUAGCAUUAAUGCACUAGAUCCCAUUAGAACUCCACAAUUAAGCACUCUUGGGAUAGAGUAGUACUGGGAUGUUCUAGUGUUUUACAUC
rfam:Picea glauca, whole genome shotgun sequence.